rnacentral:lncRNA from 1 species
CCUUAAUGUAACUAGAUACAUCUAGGGAAAAAUUACACAUUUCUCAAGAAACACAAUAUUUAACAUCUUAGAUAUGUUUCUGCAUUGCAGACUGAUAAUGAAUUUUAUACAUCUUUAUUUAUAAUUUAAAAUAUUUUUUCAUCUCUGGCAGAUAUUUACAAGGUCAACAGUGACUACAUUUCACAUUUCAACAAUCAACAGCAUUAACUAGUUCAGUAAGACAGUUAAGAUAAUGGCUUACAUGCACCAAUAAAUAUGAUCUUAAAUGUGCAUUUCUUCUUCAGCUCUGAAAAAAAUGUUUUCACUAGUCCUAGUUUGAAAGGACAUCAGUCAAUAGAGAUCAUAUUUUCUUCCUGACUAUCAUAUUUAAAUUUUAACCAGCACUAUUCUCUGAAUACUUGGCAAGUUUACACCAAGCUAUAUAGGUUGAUGCUGGUUAAGAAACAAAAACAUAAGAGCUGACCUAUUCAACCUGUAACCUUUUUGAAGCAAACAUAUGAAAGUUGGAUAUUUCCUGUAUACUUGUCCAUUGUGACAGAGAUCAGAUACAUGAUGUUACAGUAGUAAAAAACUCUUUAGAAACUAUAGGUCAGGAGAGUCAAAUUAUGAUGACAAAGUGGGAAAAUUAUCUUUGCACCAUAAAAACUGUUUCACUUAACCAGUUAAACUGAAUGUAAAGCCAGUAUAAGUUUUAGAAUAAGAAUCAAAAAACCACCACUGUAACCACUGUAAAGCAGUUAAUGAACUUCUUACAAAUAUUUUAAAACAACACAAAGAACAUUUAGUAUAUGUCUCAGUUCAGUUUGGAUGAUAAAACUUAAAAAAAACAUAAAAACCGACGUUCAUAAUUGUUAGAAAGCCAAUCUUUUCUAAGAUAGCAGAUCAACACAUCCAUUACUUUUUAACUUCUAUCUGAUAUAAAAAAAAUAAUACAUAGAGCCUGUUUGGGACAUCAGGUAAUAUAUAAAUUCAUAUCCCCCCAAAUCAUUAUUUAACAGUUUAAGUAAAUUCUUUAGUGCUUACUGAACUAUUUUAAAAAUAAGUGUUUUAACUUUUCUUAACCCAAUCGUGUUUUUCUGCGAAGAAAAAAAAUACCCAGAGUGAUCGAGUACAUAAAUUAUGUAAACAAACAUAGUUUUAGCCAAUAUCAUACUUACUAGAAAUAACUGACAUUGCUCACUUAAAAUACACAUUUCUAUAAUUCACCCUCAAUUUUUUUAGGAAGUCACAAUAUUAUACAGUAUACCAAUUACAGGAAUUCUUUUCUCUCCCCCUUUUAUUUAAUACUGAUGAGCAAAAUCCUUAAUUUGAAUUAAGGAGACAUGAAAAUUUGCCAUAAGAAAUAAUAUUUGGACUUGACCCUUAACUGGUACUUUUGCUGGAAGUAUAAAUGUUGACAUUUUACCAACAUGAUAAGAAAACCUCAAAUGGAAUCUUGUAGGUUCUGUAUAUCUGUUCCAUAUGGAAGAAUAUUUCCUCCAGGGCUAGAAAUCAAUCUUUCAUGUUAGAAGGGGCCUCAUUCCUUAACAGUUAGGUACUUCAAAUUUUAUAUUUGGUUGAUUCAUUUUCUUUGGUAACUUUUGUAGUUUAUGAAGGUGUGAACAAUUUCCUCUGAUAUCAUUAACACUACACUUUUGACACUCAAAUACAGCAAACCAGAUUGAUAUGAAUUCUGUAGUUGGGGAUGGACUGUCCAAUUAAGUUCAUUUUCUUUGAAAACAGAAGACUUUCUUUACUAAACCUACCUUCAGAUACACAAUUCUGAAAAAAAGACUCAUUUAUACUUUAAGCUAUGCCUAAUUCUCAUUUUGGGUGUAAAAAUCUGUAUUAAACAGAAGAGCAUAAUAGCAGACAUCUGAAUAUGACUUAAUUUGUAAACAUUUUCACAAAAUCCAGAAACAAAACAUAGAACUUAUGUACCUGUACUAUGCUGCCAGUUAUUUCACAUCAUUGCCAGCUACCUGCUAACUUCUAUCCUAAACUGUUUGCUCUUCUAUUUCUCGUGUGACUAAUGGCUAAGAUUAUAAACAUACUGAAGAGACUGAAGUUAAAUUUUGUGGUUAUGUGGUCAGGUUCAGAAGCAAUGUACCUACAUGGGCAGGGGAAGGUUGGAUGAUUAUAUGACUCCUCUAAUUCUAAUGGGUUGGGAUCACCACACAAAUUUCUGGCACCACCAAAAAUCCAACAGUUUAAGUGCACAUUGGUUGACUCUACAAAUAGUAUUUCCUAUAUAUGUUCAGUGCCAAUAUGAUAUACCCAUUAGGUAUACAAUGUAGGUAAUACUAAAAUUUAUGUCUUACAUUAUCAACACGACCACCUUGGCAAUGGAAAGCUGUAUCAAUCUGGUGACUCUUGGGUUUUUUUUAGCACUGUUAACAAUUUUAUACUGCAUCCCAUUUUAUAAUCUGGCAAAUAUUCUAACAUUUAGAGUUUAAGCUAUCAAUUAUUUCUAGCUGAUUUUCAAACAGCUUGUUUCUAAAAAGCACUUUUUAAAAAAUUAAAGUAUUUUUACAAAUAAGUGUCUCAACCGACUUAGUGGUUUGAAACAUGACAAUAAUCAUUCAACUUGAAAGAUAAAAAGUCUCAGGUUCAGACUGUUUACAUAGCCAUAGUAUAGAAAAAAUUGCUCUAAAAUUGUUGUAGAUUUUCUGACCACUGUCAUGACUUAUUAAACAUUUUUAAACUAAAAAACAAGUAUGUAACUGAAAUACUGAUUUUUAAAAAGCAAAACCAUAAAACUUACUUUGUAAUUCCAAGAUCAGAAAUGGAGAGAGCCUCCUUGCUAGUGUCUGUAUAAAUAGUGUACUACCCACUGAAGAUACGUACUAAUAUUUUUAUUUACAGAUGAACAUGCAGAGAAUUAAAUGAGACUUACUGAUUGUCAACAAUUAAAAGUACUCAAAAAUGGACCCAUAUUAACUCGUCCGAGUAGGAAAAACACCCCACUUCAUUAAAAUAGUCACAAAAAUGGUGCAAACAAAACUUAAAAGGAGUUAUUCUCAGUACUUCAGUAAAGCUACCAAGUGGAAUUUGAAAAUGUAGGUUGGAAAUAUUGAGCUUAUAUAGCUGGGACUAUCGCAUUUAAGACAUUUUAUACCAUAUAUACACUUUAGAUGACAUGGGUCACCAUUCUGUUAUGGAACCAUAAGCUUCACUAUAAAUCUUUUUCCAUCACAGAAGGAAAUAAUUGCUUGUUAUCUAUCUGGUCUGAGCACAAGGUUCAAUCUCUUUACAUGAGAAAUUAUGGAAUCAAAUUUAUCUUUACUUUGCAAUACUACACUGUGCAAUACAGUUAACCUGCCACCUAGGUGACUGUGAAAGCUGGCUGAUUCAAAAAUUUCUUAAGAUAGCUAGAAACACCGAUUAAAGUCAUUUUCGCUGGGUUUAUUUUUGCAUUUAAAUAAAUUCCCCCAAACAUAAUAAACUAUAAAAUGGCAGCAUACAAUUGUUAAGUGGCAGAAAACAGUAAGGCAUAAAUUAGAGUAAGAAAAAUGUAUCUAUCCUUCCCCAUCUAUGUUUAUUACUCUACAUUUUUCUCUGGAUUUAAUACUUUUCUUAAUGUGCUAUAUUCACCACUACUAGACCCAAACUGUAAAGAAAUUGCAGAAUUGGAGUGUGUUCCAUAACCACACUCACCAUAUGAUGAGUGAAAGGAGGCAGUGGGGUGUUAAUAUGCAUUUGACAGGAGACAGGAGUUUGACUCUGGCUCUGCUUCUAAGUUAUGUGACUUUGAGCACAUUACAACCUUUUUGAGCCUCAGUUUCCUGAGAAUGGAUAUGAAGGAGUGGGUGCUGGGAGACUCCUAGAUUAUCUCUAUGGUCUCUUUAGAACAAAAAAAUUGACUUUAUAAUAAAUAGGCACAGGAGAAUCAUUGGGAAGGUAAGACUAGUGGUAAUGAUCAGGAUUUCAAAUUACAAUCAUCAUGCUCCCAUGCAGCUUCUCAAAAUAUUUUCAUAUUUAAAAAUCUUACUACUAAGCUAGCUUUCAUUUUACACUUGAUUUGUUCUAAAAUAUAUAUGUGUUCUAGUAACAUGAUUUCAAAUUAACAUCAUAGAGAAGAAUUCUCAAAACUUGCAGAUAAUUUCCUUGUAUUUCUUAAUUGAACCUGGCAUAGAUAACAUCAAAUUGUUUUAUUAUAGAAAACAAGUAUUUUCACCCUAACUAGCUUGUCCAUAAAUGAAAGAACUUUUUAAAAUGGAAGUUAGGAAGUAUAAAAACAAAAAGUUGUUAAAGGAUAAAGCGUGAAUAUUGCUGGCAUAUAUUUGUAACAGUUGUAUAUCUGAAAAUUAUUUUACAUUAAAUGCAAUAAUGCAAAUGAAUAUUUUAAAAAUCUCUUAGAAAAUGUGACUAUGGUUUAUGACUGACUCAUUCCAUUUUAACUAUAUCUUGCACAGGAAAUCUGUUCUAAGACACCAAAUGCAAAAUUUGAACUAAAUGAAAUAUUUCUUCUUUGGGGCCAAAUUAUACCACUUAAAAG